rnacentral:lncRNA from 10 species
AGAUCUUAUCAUAAAUACUGUUUUCUUCAGGAGAAUCUUCCUGACCACUAGAACAGGUUAGGUCCCCUCAAGAGCAGAUUUCUGGAAAAAUCUCCAACUUCUACUAUUAUGCAAAUAGGAUUGUAUUUAAUUUCAAUGGUAUGUCUCUCUUGCAAACUGUAAGUUCUAUUAAAGCACACUUUAAUAGACUAUGCUUUAAUAGAACUUACACUUUGUCAAGUUUACUUUACUUUACAAUUUAGCUUUAAUUAGCUAUGCUUCAGAACUUUCCUUUGUCAAUUUUACUUUGACAAGUGUCAAUUCUCACUUUCACUUUGUCAACUUUAUUCAAUAUUUUUUCCAUAACUUGAGGCAAAGAUUCACACACAUAAGAGGUAUUUAAAUCAAUACAUAAGAUAAACGUAUACAUAGACAUAUGUAUACUCAUAAAAACACAUAAUUUUAUUGUGUUAACAAAUAUCAAUAUUACUGUCCUAUAGAUUCAUGUAAAGAGAUAAAGUCAUGCCUAGAUAUUUCUGGCAUAACAAUGUGUGUGUUAUUGGAUAAUCUUUUUUUCUUCAAAACUGCACACUAAAAAUAACACGGCUUAUUGGAAAUAGAAAUGGGCAGGGAUUCAAAACCUAUUUAACUUUGUUACUAAAGUUUUAAAUAAAAUAUUAAUUUGUAUGUGGAAAUAUAACACAAAUGACAAAGCAGGCAGAUGAGUGUGAUUGGUGAUGGCCACAGAGGAUAAUUUUUUUAAAAUUGCCAGAACAAUAGGUUGUAUAUCCUGGCUUGCGGGUACUGGGAUGAUGCAGAGCAAGUUGUGCUCUGAGCCAGCGGAGCUCCCAUUUAGGGGUCACAGGAUCAAGAGAAACGUGCCACAAGCUGGAGGCUGUGCAAAACUGGCAGCAAACAUCUCUGGGGAGAGCCCUGCACACAGCCACCCCAACCUCUGGCACCACCACUCUGAUCAGACAGCAGCCAUCAACAUCUAGUCGAGACCCUCCACUAGCAAAGAGAUUAUGACUCACUGAAGGCUCAGAUGAUCAUGAAUAAUUUUCAGAAAUAAAGUACUUUUAAAUUCAGAUGGAGUCUUGCUCUGUUGCCCAGGCUGGAGCACAAUCUCAGUUCACUGAAACCUCCGCCUCCUGGAUUCAAGCAAUUCUCCUGCCUCAGCCUCCUGAGUAGCUGGGAUUGCAGGUAUGCACCACCACACCCGCCUAAUGUUUGUAUUUUUAGUAGAGAUGAGGUUUCACCGUGUUGACCAGGCUGGUCUCAAAUGCCUGACCUAGUGAUCUGCUCGCCUCGGCCUCCCAAAAGUGCUGGGAUUACAGGUAUGAGCCACCGUCCCCGGCCAAAACUUACUCUUUUUUAUACUAUAGGAUUAUGAUUUCAUUUUCUAAUGCUUAUCCAGGACAAAGUUGUUCAGUGCUGACUGUGUGUCAGGUACUCAGCUAGGUGACUAUACUUUAAAUUUGGACUCAAAAAAUCUCUGCCUUAAUGAACCCUAAGCGUGGUAAGAGAAAAAGACAGGUAAUUCAAACUUCCUUGAGAAUUCUGAAAAUGUCUUCUAGAAGUUGAGAUCUAUCAGGCAGGUCUUAAAUAAUUAAUAGAAUAUUUUUGGUAGGUGUGGAGCAGAGAAGGGGAAGCGGGAAUAGGAUAGAUAAGG